GGGUUGUGAGGUUAAGCGACUAAGCGUACACGGUGGAUGCCUAGGCAGUCAGAGGCGAUGAAGGGCGUGCUAAUCUGCGAUAAGCGUCGGUAAGCUGAUAUGAAGCGUUAUACCCGACGAUACCCGAAUGGGGAAACCCAGUGUGUUUCGACACACUAUCAUGACAUGAAUACAUAGUGUCAUGAGGCGAACCGGGGGAACUGAAACAUCUCAGUACCCCGAGGAAAAGAAAUCAACCGAGAUUCCCCCAGUAGCGGCGAGCGAACGGGGAGGAGCCCAGAACCUGAAUCAGUUUGUGUGUUAGUGGAAGCGUCUGGAAAGUCGCACAGUAAAGGGUGAUAGUCCCGUACACAAAAAUGCACAAGCUGUGAGUUCGAUGAGUAGGGCGGGACACGUGACAUCCUGUCUGAAUAUGGGGGGACCAUCCUCCAAGGCUAAAUACUCCUGACUGACCGAUAGUGAACCAGUACCGUGAGGGAAAGGCGAAAAGAACCCCGGCGAGGGGAGUGAAAUAGAACCUGAAACCGUGUACGUACAAGCAGUGGGAGCCUACUUGUUAGGUGACUGCGUACCUUUUGUAUAAUGGGUCAGCGACUUAUAUUCUGUAGCAAGGUUAACCGUAUAGGGGGAGCCGCAGGGAAACCGAGUCUUAACUGGGCGUUAAGUUGCAGGGUAUAGACCCGAAACCCGGUGAUCUAGCCAUGGGCAGGUUGAAGGUUGGGUAACACUAACUGGAGGACCGAACCGACUAAUGUUGAAAAAAUUAGCGGAUGACUUGUGGCUGGGGGGUGAAAGGCCAAUCAAACCGGGAGAUAGCUGGUUCUCCCCGAAAGCUAUUUAGGUAGCGCCUCGUGAACUCAUCUUCGGGGGUAGAGCACUGUUUCGGCUAGGGGGUCAUCCCGACUUACCAACCCGAUGCAAACUACGAAUACCGAAGAAUGUUAUCACGGGAGACACACGGCGGGUGCUAACGUUCGUCGUGAAGAGGGAAACAACCCAGACCGCCAGCUAAGGUCCCAAAGUCAUGGUUAAGUGGGAAACGAUGUGGGAAGGCACAGACAGCCAGGAUGUUGGCUUAGAAGCAGCCAUCAUUUAAAGAAAGCGUAAUAGCUCACUGGUCGAGUCGGCCUGCGCGGAAGAUGUAACGGGGGCUAAACCAUGCACCGAAGCUGCGGCAGCGACACUUAGGUGUUGUUGGGUAGGGGAGCGUUCUGUAAGCCUGCGAAGGUGGCCUGUGAGGGCUGCUGGAGGUAUCAGAAGUGCGAAUGCUGACAUAAGUAACGAUAAUGCGGGUGAAAAACCCGCACGCCGGAAGACCAAGGGUUCCUGUCCAACGUUAAUCGGGGCAGGGUGAGUCGACCCCUAAGGCGAGGCUGAAAAGCGUAGUCGAUGGGAAACAGGUUAAUAUUCCUGUACUCGGUGUUACUGCGAAGGGGACGGAGAAAGCUAGGUUAUCCGGGCGACGGUUGUCCCGGUUUAAGCGUGAAGGUGGAUGACUUUGGUAAAUCCGGGUCAUCGUUAACACUGAGGCGUGAUGACGAGUCACUACGGUGAUGAAGUAACCGAUGCUACGCUUCCAGGAAAAGCCUCUAAGCUCCAGGUAACAUCAAAUCGUACCCCAAACCGACACAGGUGGUCAGGUAGAGAAUACUCAGGCGCUUGAGAGAACUCGGGUGAAGGAACUAGGCAAAAUGGUGCCGUAACUUCGGGAGAAGGCACGCUGAUGGUAAGUGAAGUGACUUGCUCAUGGAGCUGAAAUCAGUCGAAGAUACCAGCUGGCUGCAACUGUUUAAUAAAAACACAGCACUGUGCAAACACGAAAGUGGACGUAUACGGUGUGACGCCUGCCCGGUGCCGGAAGGUUAAUUGAUGGGGUCAGCCGCAAGGCGAAGCUCUUGAUCGAAGCCCCGGUAAACGGCGGCCGUAACUAUAACGGUCCUAAGGUAGCGAAAUUCCUUGUCGGGUAAGUUCCGACCUGCACGAAUGGCGUAAUGAUGGCCAGGCUGUCUCCACCCGAGACUCAGUGAAAUUGAACUCGCUGUGAAGAUGCAGUGUACCCGCGGCAAGACGGAAAGACCCCGUGAACCUUUACUAUAGCUUGACACUGAACCUUGAGCCUUGAUGUGUAGGAUAGGUGGGAGGCUUUGAAGUGUGGACGCCAGUCUGCAUGGAGCCAACCUUGAAAUACCACCCUUUAAUGUUUGAUGUUCUAACGUGGACCCGUGAUCCGGGUUGCGGACAGUGUCUGGUGGGUAGUUUGACUGGGGCGGUCUCCUCCCAAAGCGUAACGGAGGAGCACGAAGGUUAGCUAAUCCUGGUCGGACAUCAGGAGGUUAGUGCAAAGGCAUAAGCUAGCUUGACUGCGAGAGUGACAGCUCGAGCAGGUGCGAAAGCAGGUCUUAGUGAUCCGGUGGUUCUGAAUGGAAGGGCCAUCGCUCAACGGAUAAAAGGUACUCCGGGGAUAACAGGCUGAUACCGCCCAAGAGUUCAUAUCGACGGCGGUGUUUGGCACCUCGAUGUCGGCUCAUCACAUCCUGGGGCUGAAGUAGGUCCCAAGGGUAUGGCUGUUCGCCAUUUAAAGUGGUACGCGAGCUGGGUUUAGAACGUCGUGAGACAGUUCGGUCCCUAUCUGCCGUGGGCGUUGGAAGAUUGAGAGGGGUUGCUCCUAGUACGAGAGGACCGGAGUGAACGCACCACUGGUGUACGGGUUGUGAUGCCAAUUGCAUUGCCCGGUAGCUAAGUGCGGAAGAGAUAACCGCUGAAAGCAUCUAAGCGGGAAACUUGCCUCGAGAUGAGUCUUCCCUGGGCACUAGAUGCCCCUGAAGGGCCGUUGAAGACGACGACGUAGAUAGGCUGGGUGUGUAAGCGUAGCGAUACGUUGAGCUAACCAGUACUAAUGACCCGAGAGGCUUAACCUUACAACACCGAAGGUGUUU
rnacentral:rRNA from 1 species